CCGGGACUGGGAGCCUCCCAGGUGCUACAUCCGCAUCAUCAGCCUCAGGCCUCCCUUGGGGCCUCUCCCUUCAAACCACAGCAUCCUCAUCCCACCCCACCCCCAGGUAGGAUGCUGGUCGCUCAGCCUGGAGAGACCUUUUUAAUUUGAGGAUAAACAGACUGUCAUCCUGGCUCGGCCCUCUGUGGGCUUGCUGCUCCCCGCCCCCCUCAAUCCGCAGUGCACAGCCGCUCUGUUCUCCUGCCAACUUGGCAGCUCGUUGCUGCUGUUACUAUCAACACCUCUGAGGGAAAAAGGAGAGGAGUCGGUUCUGAUCGCCUAGUGCACUGAGCAACACAUUCAUACCGAGCCUGAGCACUCUGGAAUGUUUCCCGAGCUCCGAAGACUCCGGGUGGGGCAAGAAAGGUGGGAUCUGUGUUGCAGAGAACAGAUGGGCCGGAAAUCAGCCUGAGCUCGGAUCCGAUCAGCCCCAGUAGGAGCAGCGCUUUAGCAGAGAGACUGAAACCAGUCGAGGACACACACAAACCCGCCCCUCCUCCCCACCUCCCACCCCCGCCCCUGCUCCCCACCUCAGGGAGUACUGGGAGGGAAUAAGAAGAGCUGCUGAAGGUUGUGGCUGGAGCCUCAGAGGUACAGGACCGGAAUAUCGGUAAAUGGAUCUUGCUGUUACCUCAUCUCUUGUCACAGUCCAAAUAACAUGGAUGGCUUCAGUUCAAGAGAUGGUAGAUCAGGGUUUUGUGGUGUGGGUAGGAAAAUGCUUUUGGGAUUUUGUUUAGGGAUGUAUGAAGAACUGGGUCUUUUUCUUUCACCAUCCUUGGACUCCAUGUCUCCUUUACCAGUUCAGACCGGGUGCUAGAAUGAGCACACUUUCUUUACCGGUUGAAAGCUUCCAGGGUCAGCCUUUUCCUUUACCCAAACCCACUCAGAGCCACUCAGGCCCAGCCCUCUGACUUCCCCAAGCUGCUAGUUAGUGCCUUUCUCAGCCGUGGGUUAGGACUCCCAGGGAGGAGGGGCUGUUGGGAAGAACAAAGAAUAUCUUCAGAGACAGAAAGCCCACUCUAAAGCAAAGGCCUGCUGAUAACUCCAGUCACUCAGUCACUCCUGACAGGAUCAAGAGGUGUUCAUUGUGCUGCUUUCCCCGGAGGAAUGCCUCUCCAGCCCUCUCCCUGGUAGCUAAGGUAAAGCCUGAACUUCCUGACUUUAGUCUCAGCCACAAGGGCUGGCUUGGGACUAGCUCCUGAAUUCCAUACCAGUGGUCUGCCCAACCCACCCGAAAAUGUGGUCCUGGUUCCUAGUCGGGUGUGUGUGGGGAGGGACGAUCAUCAGCCUGUUCGCUUUUCUAUAACACAGAGAAGUCAGGCACCUCAAUGGGCUGCAGACUACAGAAUGAAGACCUAAAACUGAGGCUUGUAUACAACUGGAAUGUGCCCUCCUUUUCUAUGCUGCUCUCCCUCUACCCUCCCUAGAAGCCCUUUUUCAGAUGUGAAACUGAUACCAAGAUUAUUUCCAGCCCUGGGAAUCUGAACCCUCUCACCUUCCUGGUAAGAACUACCCAGCUACCCAAGAAAACCUUCAGACUAUCUCAGGGCCUGAGAACAGGAAAGAGGACUCAGUCAGCAGGCUGGAAUUGAAAUAAGCCAUGAGAGGCUGUGCCAUUCCGGGCUGCACCUGUGAGCAGCCCCUCCAAUGAAGCCCUGUCAGCGUUUCCAUGACAAACUCAUAUUUCCGGAUGCUUCUCUUCCAGCUUGAAGAGCUUGUCUCUCGGCGAGGCUUGAUACUGAAAGUGCAUUCAGAUUUUCACACCCCCCCCCAAAAAAAGAUUGUACACCCCAUAAAAACUUACAACCUGGGGUUGGGGAUUUAGCUCAGUGGUAGAGUGCUUACCUAGGAAGCGCAAGGCCCUGGGUUCGGUCCCCAGCUCCGAAAAAAAGAACCAAAAAAAAAAAAAAAAAAAAAAAAAAAAAACCCUUACAUCCUCCUUGUAUGUAUUUGCUCUUUAUUUUGAGUUUGAUGGCAUAACCUUUGUUCUGGUGAAAAUAAGCAACACACACAGAGGAAGACUCGAGGAGAACCGCUAACGACUACAUGGGGCCAGCACACAGUGUGUAAGACCUCUCUUUGCAAGAGAUCCUCUGCUUCCAUUUGCUUAUCUCAAAGCCAAAAGUGAUUUCUACUUUUGAGUUUGAAGGACUCCCCAGCUCCAGGUGUCCAUUGGCCUCUAACAGAGGCUGACUCCAGAAGGUCACCAGCUCCCAGCUGGCAAUGGAUGAGUGGAAGGAUUUUGAGGUACCUCGAAGGUCAGUGGAAGGGCAGAAAGGGCCUUUCAGUAGGAGCUUUUCACCGGCUCGACGUUGCUACUCUCCAGUACAUUAGCAUCACAAGAUCGAAACAGAAAACUCGGGUAUAUCCCAAAGUGGGAAGAAAAUGAUGUCAUAAACUGGGAGCGAGAUGUGGGCCGAGCUAUGUGGAGGCCUGAGACGAGAGAUGUGUCGUGGCCGCAAUCGCAAGGAUUAAGAAAGUUGGUCCAGUAUGGCCGUGCACCCCUUCCAUCCCAGCACUUGAAGGGCAGAGGCGGGUGAUUCUUACUGGCUUGGUCAAACUUCCCCUAAUAGACAGAACUGCCUCCUAGCGGGAACCCCAUGGUCUCCAAAGAAGAUAUACGGAUAUACGAGGCACAAGGACUCCACCAGGAUUGUGGUAGUGCUAACCACUGGGAUAAACUGUUCCAUGCCUCAUCUGCUGUCAGUGCUCUUCUCAAACUGUGGGCGUUUUUUUUGGGUUGAUUGCCCUAUUUUGCCUGGUCAAAGUAAGGUCAGUUCUCCCAAGUUCCCCUUUAGGAAAAAAAAAUCUCUCAGAUCUGACAGCCAAAGGCCUAUGCUCCUCUGUAUGACAGCUAAAGAUUUGGCUAUGUGAUGGCCGAAGACUAACCACUGCCCCCAACGAAACUCUGAAGACCACUGGACCCCAAGGUAACCCGUCUCAUGUAAUGGGGAAGUCUCUGUCAUUCCAGGUAUAAUCUCUCCUCAGAUCUCUGAGGAUAUGGACUGACUGUAGCUUUAACAGCAACAAGCAUACCAGCUCCUCCCCCAAGGCUUCAGCUGCCUUCCCAGUUCUCUUCCUAGGUAAAGACCAGGCCUGAGGCCUCACUCACCUAGAGUUUCUGCUGUAGAGAUUCUGGGCCUUGCUACCAGGCUCCAAAAAGAGAUAAACUCACUAAAGAGGUUUCAAAGUAACUUUUUACCAUUCCUUUCUUUUUUUUUUUUUUUUUUUUUUUUUUUUUUGGAGCUGGGGACCGAACCCAGGGCCUUGGGCUUGCUAGGCAAGUGCUCUACCGCUGAGCUAAAUCCCCAACCCCACCAUUCCUUUCUUUAAGGGGACUCUUUGCAAUAACUGCACUCCUGCAGUCACCCCUGGGUCCUCAUGGUAAACAACAGGAUGUAAAAGAAAAAGUGAUUCAAUCUUUAUUAAGACUUCAAAAGUUCAGAGUUUAAACAUUAAUCAGCGGAGUUCUGAUAAGCCAUCAAUCUAGCUCUGCUAAAGUACUUGUUAAUAGUAUCAUAGUCAAAUUUAAAAUGUUAGAUUUUCCUUUGGUCGUUUCCUAAGUACAGACUUAAAAAUGCUUCUCAGUUUGCCAAAGGCAUCUCUGUCCAGUCUAUAUACACAGCACUCUGGAGAGAGUGUUCAUGCUUCUAACCCAAAAUCAUUUUGGCAUUCCCACACUUUUACUUCCAUUCAGAGGCACGAGUCUACUGCUCUUUCCCACAGUGCAGAUUUCAGUACAUAUUACAAAAGUGGUGAUGCUAACAACAUCAGAACUUUUGUCUUUAUAAUCUUAAAAAAAAAAAAAUCUUGUAAGCUGCUGGACCCACCUCUCACAGGUCAAAUGGACCCCAAAUAAGUACUCGUGUCAAACAACAGCCUAAAUUUUAAUGCCCACUGCCUGUUCCUGAGGGUGGGAUCUUUCUCCCUUUUCCUGAUCUUGGAGCUCCCCUCUCCAGCUACCUUUGAGGACCCUGGGCCUCAAAGUUUCAAAUGUGCACCCAGGAUAAACUUUCCCUUCUUCUCCUAGUCUAUCUGUCCCAGUUGAUUCCAGAUCCGACUAGUCCCCAGCUCCGGGUGCUCCCCCACAACCCACAUCCCAAGCAGCUUCAAGGAGGCUAGCCCCAGGUAAUCCAGCCUCACAAACUACUCCACAAGGUCCUGCAGAGCCUGGGCAGCCACUUUUCCCAGUCUCAGCCAGCGCACCAGCUUCUUUAGCACACCCCCACCCCUGACGCCCCGCCCUGACAAUGAUGCUCCAAAGUCAGCAGGAAAUAGUAAGAGAGGAGAUUAUGUAUGUGUCCUCCCAUACCAUUCAUCAAUUAUCAACAAAAAGGCUUAGGUUUUUGUUUGUUUUUUUUUUAAUUAACAAACAAACAAAUAGGUCUCGGGUUGGGGAUUUAGCUCAGUGGUAGAGUGCUUGCCUAGCAAGCUCAAGGCCCUGGGUUCGGUCCCCAGCUCUGAAAAAAAAGAAAAAAAAAAAAAAGAAAGUAAAAAGAAAGUAAAAAAAGAAAUAGGUCUCAAACCUGGGACAAAUGGUGAAGGUGCCUACUAAAGGACCUGGCCUCCAGGUUCUCCCUGCAUCUCUUAGUCACUACCUGUUACAGGGCCCCUGACUAGUAUACCUCACCCGUCUAACCCUGAACUCUCCAGCCCAGGGCUCUGGGCUGUUCCUCCCUAUAAAAUCCACCUGUUUUGGUUACCUGAUUUUUUUUUAUUAAUUAAUUAUUAUUUUUUUUUUUUGUACCUUUGGGCCUCCUGACUGCUACACCUGGUUCCCUUCCCCUCCCUCUCCAUUCGCCUCCUUUCUGCCCCACCUCUCCCCUUCUUCUCUCCCCUCUCUUGUCCUCCCCACAUGACUCAGUUCAGUCUGGUUAUGUACACAGACCCUGGACUCUCCCAGAUGUCCCUGCCUCGGCCCAUACUCUUCCACCUGUCUAUAAUAAACCUUCCCCCACCAUAACUACGAACAGUCACA
ensembl:lncRNA